GCGCAGCAGUCGCGAAUCUUCCACAAUGGACGAAAGUCUGAUGGAGCGACGCCGCGUGCGGGAUGAAGGCCUUAUGGGUUGUAAACCGCUGUCAGGGGGGAAGAACAUCGGAAUGAACAAUACUCAUUCCGACUGACGUUACCCCCAGAGGAAGCUCCGGCCAACUCCGUGCCAGCAGCCGCGGUAAUACGGGGGGAGCAAGCGUUGUCCGGAAUUAUUGGGCGUAAAGGGCGUGUAGGCGGCGAGGUAAGUCGAAUGU
rnacentral:rRNA from 1 species